rnacentral:rRNA from 1 species
UACGUAGGGUGCAAGCGUUAUCCGGAAUUAUUGGGCGUAAAGCGCACGUAGGCGGUUUGUUAAGUCGGAUGUGAAAUCCCUCGGCUCAACUGAGGAAGUGCAUCCGAAACUGGCAAGCUUGAGUACGAAAGAGGAUCGCGGAAUUCCCGGUGUAGAGGUGAAAUUCGUAGAUAUCGGGAGGAACACCGGUGGCGAAGGCGGCGAUCUGGGUCGAUACUGACGCUGAGGUGCGAAAGCGUGGGGAGCAAACAGG